CAGAAAUUUCAGUAGUGUUACAACAAUUAUUCAGUAAAAUUAAAAUAUUUUGUAAUAAACCAAGUAUUUACUAAAAUUCCUAAAAAACUUGUGUAAAUUUAAAUCACUUUGUGAAACUUAUAAGCAAUAUUACAUUAGAUUUGUAAAAUUACCGAAGAAAGUUGCAAAAUCACAUUCAUAUUAUAAAAUCACAUAAUAUUUGUAAUUAUUUUUACUAUUAUAAUGUAAAAUUACAAGUUUUUUGUAAAUUUAUACCUUCAUUCUUAAAUUUAUCUUGGCUAUGUAAACCGCGGCCAAUGAGAGUGCGUGUUUACGCGUCCCCAAGCGAUUCCGAAAUUUUCAACGUAAAUGACGACUCAGUUAUUAUUUUCGACUUAGACAGGUAAAAAAGAAUUUUGUGAUAGUCCUUCUGUUUAUCUUUACUUUACUACACGAAGAAACCUUCGUGCCUAUAAGUAUCAGAUAAGUUAAAUAUUAACAUUAACACCUGUUAACAAUGAUUACUUGUCAAAUUGCCUGACUGGUCAGGUUGCCAAUUUCCAUAUAAUCUGUGCGUGGUCCUUUAUGAAAAUGUCUUAUUACCUAUUAGUAUGCAUUUAGUAUAGAUUUUCAGCAAGUAAAGGUUAUAUAAACUUGUAAUAGAAAACUUGACAUUACCGAUGAAUCUUCUCUUGAGCUUGGUAUGGAACCAUGCAUUGUAUUAUGUGGUGGCUCUAACAAUACUAUAAAAAUAUACCUAGAACAAGAACCUGUUGCGGAAAAAUGUGACUCAUUUGGAGGAGCAUUGCAUUGCUUAAUUGCACUUUAUUUUGUCUUUAAUUUGGAAUAUCCCAAAGAAGCAUAUUUCAUAUUUAACGAAGUUAGCCAAGAUAGAAUAAUAAAUUAUUAUUUUAUUAAAUAAUUAUUUAUAAAUUAUUAUAUUAUUUCUUUUUUUGAGUCCAUAAGUGUUAAAUGAAUUUGUUCCAACUUAAAGGGUUUUUUUUGUGAGAUUUAGCUUGUAAGUAGGUACCUAUAUUAACAUAUUUGAUAUUAUAUAGGGCCCCAAAAUGCAUAUAGACUGUGUUAAAGUUCUUGGCUACUUGGUUAUUUUCCUUUUUUUUUUUGAAAACUUACCAUUUAGUUUUGUUAUGUUCCUACUGUUUUUGAAUUGAAUUUCCAUUGAGUUUUGAACAAGUAAAUCCUUUGUAUUUUUUUAAAUUGCCA